CUCAACCUAUACGGGGAACAUUGUCAUUAAACAAAAGACAAUAACAUCCAACUAUGCCGUGCUUGUUACUAUAAUUUGUUGUGUCGAUCAUGGCUAUUGUCAAAACAGUUCAAAGUGAGUUUAUGGAUACAUUCGAAAAACAUAUGGAUAGUCACAGUUUAAUUCAUGAUCAUCAUAAUAAAAUGACAUGGAUGACAUUGAAGUCAGAAAAAGAUUAUUACAUGCCGAAAUGUAAAGCAUGGCUGAACAGAUUUGUGAGAUCAUUUCAUUUUUAUCCGAAAACGUUUUUCAAGACGUAUUUAUUGGACCCUGAGGAAUAUAACAAAUUUGUGGAUCAACAGCAAUCAAAACAAUCCAGCUUUUUAAAGGAAUCUAUGCAGUUUGAGUGGUGUAGAUUAUCAAGUUUUGCAUCUUAUCCAAACACAAAUAUUUCAGUAAUAAGGCUGGCCAAAGCUGGUUAUUACUAUGAAGGACACGGAGACGAAGUAAUCUGUAAUUUUUGCGGGUCAAAACAACAACACUGGAAAUCAACAGAUGAUCCAAAAGUAAUUAACAAAGAAAAGGCACCAGAAUGUCCUUUUGUUAUAAAACAUUUAAGUGCUACUUCAAAACAACAUCAUGUGUGGACUAUUUCUGCAAAUGGUGGAGCAGAAUCUUCCACAGGCGCUUGUGGUAAUGCAGCAGAUGCCGAAAAUUUAUCAGUAGUCAAUGAGAAACAUUGUAAAUCUGUAGAGGAACAACGUGCAAUUGAAGCAAGAGUUUAUCAUGAAAAUACGUUUACAGUUGACAGAAAUCAUGAACAUAUCGUUACAGUUGACGGAAAUCAUGGACAUAUCGUUACAGUUGACAGAAAUCAUGGACAUAUCGUUCCAGUUGACAAGGAUACAAUGUCAUCUCGAAAUAGUGAACUAACCGAAAACCAAGUGAAUAAUGUUUCUGAUAGGCAGACGGAAAGCAGUGAAGCCAUUUCAUCACAGAGAAGAACGAACCAGACGCAAACCGUGUACUCUAGAAACGACACAACUGGUCUCAUUCGUAUACCAGAUACACAUGUUGCUCCACAACGAACAUUAACACAAACAGUUGUAGAUUCGGUGCGAUCUUCGGCUUCAGAUUCAGCAUCAAUGAACAUCGGCAUUUGUCUUGAAAAACCAAAAUAUCCUAAAUAUGCUAUAAAGACAACUCGAUUUUCAUCAUUUACUAACUGGCCUUUAUACAUGUCUCAAACACCAGAGGAUCUGGUAAAUGCAGGUUUCUUUUAUACUGGUACCGAGGAUCACUGCAGAUGUUUCUUUUGUGGGGGUGGUUUAAGACGAUGGGAGGAAGAAGAUUUGCCUUGGACAGAACAUGCUCGAUGGUAUCCCAUGUGUCCAUUUGUCAUACAAUGUAAGGGGGGAACGUUCAUUGCUGAUGUACAGCGAGGGACAAAUCCUGAAACUGCUGAAAAUGUGACAGAAAACAAACAGAAGAAAGCGUCUAUUGGAAUAGAUGGUUAAAUAAAUAACCCAGCAGUGCAAACUAUUCUUGAAUUUGGAUACGAAUCUGAUGUUGUAAAGACAGCUUAUACACGAUUGAAAGAAUCUGGAAUACAUGAUAUUACGGCUUCACUUUUGCUAGAUACCAUUUAUGAAAAAGAAGCGAGUGAAAAUCACCAUACCACCUCUGACCUGACAAUUCCUAGUCAUAAUACAACUCCAGAAAAAGAAGCAGACGAUAAAGAACAUUCCAACAAAACCCCAG